rfam:Felis catus isolate Cinnamon breed Abyssinian chromosome F1, whole genome shotgun sequence.
GCCUGGGUGGCUCAGUCGGUUGAGCGUCCGACUUCGGCUCAGGUCAUGAUCUCACGGCUCGUGGGUUCGAGCCCCGCGUCGGGCU